GUGAGGAGCACCUACCUUAGAGCCAUUGCAUCCUGGCAAACCGGCAAGUCCAUAAGGUCCAGGACGGCCUGGGGUGCCCUGAAAAGGAGACAUCGUUGCCUACCCCAGAACCAGGGAGGAAAGGAAAAGAAAAAGAGAAAAAGAAGAGGGAAGUGUGCACAGAGGAAAUACAAUUUGACUUGAUGUCCUACAAAUCCACACUCUAAAACACUCUGUGGCUCUAUCAUGCCGUUUUCAUCAGGUAGUGAAUGUGUCAGUAGCCAUUUCUUUGUGCUAUUGCUUUACAGCUUUAUUAAAAUGGGCUUACUUUUAUCUUACUACACUGGUGGACAGUGACUGCACUGGGGUAUGGGUGGGGACUUGAUAAUAAGGGUGAAUGUAGUAACCACAUUG